UACGAAGGGGGCUAGCGUUGCUCGGAAUCACUGGGCGUAAAGGGUGCGUAGGCGGGUCUUUAAGCCAGGGGUGAAAUCCUGGAGCUCAACUCCAGAACUGCCUUUGAUACUGAGGGGCUCGAGUCCGGGAGAGGUGAGUGGAACUGCGAGUGUAGAGGUGAAAUUCGUAGAUAUUCGCAAGAACACCAGUGGCGAAGGCGGCUCACUGGCCCGGUACUGACGCUGAGGAGCGAAAGCGUGGGUAGCAAACAGG
rnacentral:rRNA from 1 species